rnacentral:lncRNA from 1 species
CCCAGUCCGAGGUUGAAUUCUCUUUUUACUAGUAAGCCUUUUCUUUAAUCAUUAUUAUUAUUUUAUUUAUUUAUUUUCACUUCCCACCAAAGAAAUUUUUUAUAUAUUAUGCGUGCCGUUUGAUCAAAAUACUCUAGUAGGUUUAUUAAUUUACAGGAGUUUAAAAAAUUCCCAGUUGGAGUAGAUUUGACUUUGCAUUAAACAAUUGAAACGAACACAAGCUGUUUGUUAUGUUGCGCAGCAGAAGGACAAAACACAAUCAACAUUCCUAGAUGUUAAAGAAUUAUGGAGGAUGAUCAAAACAGCACAAGCUCGCUAUAUGGAUUCAAUACAUACUCAAGCAAGCUUUACGCAGUUUGAUCGCUUCCUUUUCUUUUACCCUUUUGGCUCUUUGUCAAAUCUCUGGAAAAGAAAAAGAUCAUUCUUGUUUGGGUUGUCAAUUAUACGGCAACCCUGGCCAGAGAUAAUGCAGCUUAUAAAGAAAAAGGAAGAAAGGCUUUAAUCAUUCACGUUUAUGGGCGAAAGGGGUUGGCCGUUUCAGGCACUUGAUUUUGAUGCAACAGACUGAUUUUCUCUACUGCCCUCUGGUGGGACGCCUCGCC